GUUGUCUCCAGUUGCUGUGAACGGGAUAUUUUAGGAGUCUGGAGAGCAGCGAGCGUCUCACCCCGACAGGAGCUCGAGCUCUGCGCACGUCCGCCCGUCUGUGUUUCUGUUUGAACCCACACAGGCUGCGACUGCAGGCGAGCUGGAGAAGCUCUAGAUCGCUGUGAGUACGGUGGAUGAGGCACCCAGGAAAGGAUAUCACGGUGGGCAGAGGAAAGGAGGCUUUAAAAACUGCUGCUCGACAAAAAAUUUUGAAAGCAGGAGUCUGAGGGCGAUGUGGAGGAUCAGAUCAGCUCUGAUUUAAACUCCGGUCUGAGAGCUGAAUCGGCCGUGGCCCAAUCGGCAGCAGCUCCUUCCCCGUGAGAGAGACCAAACCAUUCAACAACGUCGAAAGUUGCUUACUUCAAGAGGAAAUAUGCGGAGGAGGAGGAUUUACACCGAGGCCUACGUGGAUAUUUUCAAAAAGUGCGUGUUCUUUUCUUCUUCUUUUGUUGUUUUCAUGCCAGCGUGACUUGAUUUUCUGUGCCUGAAAGACCUUAAUACAACAGCUGAAACGUUUGGUGACUUCAUAGCUGAACAGGCUCGCCAAAUGUUUCUGGCUUAUUACUUCUUUUCUACUGCCUCUUCCUUCUUUUGUCUUCUUUCUUUGCUUCUGUGCAUUCUCGACAUUCACAAUUCUCUCCAUCACUUUAACGGUUUCACUCUUUAUUAGCUGGCCUUCAUCACAUCACAUCCUUCAACUUUAUUCUGGCAUCCUAUACAGUCUCCACUGUUUCUCUGCUUUGAAUACCUAAAGUGUUCACUGUACCUUUAAAGGUUUAUGCAUUUCAGGCAUGAAUGCAGUUCUACAAAAA
ensembl:lncRNA